rnacentral:rRNA from 1 species
CAAGCGUGAGGUAAGGGCAUUUGGUGGAUGCCUUGGCGCAUACAGGCGAUGAAGGACGUGGCACGCUGCGAUAAGCCCGGGUUAGGUGUGAGCAACCUUUGACCCCGGGAUUUCCGAAUGGGGAAACCCAGCUUCACCAAUUAUCACCAUCCAGAGAGAUCUGGGUGUCGGUAAUUGGGCGAGGUUAUCACUAAGCUGAAUACAUAGGCUUUGGUGAAGCGAACCCGGCGAACUGAAACAUCUCAGUAGCUGGAGGAAAAGACAUCAACCGAGAUUCCGUAAGUAGUGGCGAGCGAAAGCGGACCAGGCCAGUGCCUGACAUUCAAGUAGCAGAACUGUUUGGAAAGGCCGACCAUAGCGGGUGACAGUCCCGUAUGCGAAACUGAUGUGUCAGGACUUGAGUAGGGCGGGACACGUGUAAUCCUGUCUGAACAUAGGGGGACCACCCUCUAAGCCUAAAUACUCGUAUGCGACCGAUAGCGAACAAGUACCGUGAGGGAAAGGUGAAAAGCACCCCGAUGAGGGGAGUGAAACAGUACCUGAAACCGAAUGCCUACAAGCAGUCAGAGGAUCUUUAGG